UGGGGAAUAUUGCACAAUGGGGGAAACCCUGAUGCAGCGACGCCGCGUGAGCGAAGAAGGCCUUCGGGUCGUAAAGCUCUUUUAUGAGGGAAGAUAAUGACGGUACCUCAAGAAAAAGCCCCGGCUAACUACGUGCCAGCAGCCGCGGUAAUACGUAGGGGGCUAGCGUUGUCCGGAAUCACUGGGCGUAAAGGGUUCGCAGGCGGAAUAACAAGUCAGAUGUGAAAGGCAUGGGCUCAACCCAUGUAAGCAUUUGAAACUGUAAUUCAUGAGAAGUGGAGGGGUAAGUGGAAUUCCUAGUGUGGCGGUGAAAUGCGUAGAUAUUAAGAGGAAUACCUGUGGCGAAGGCGACUUACUAGACACAAAUCUGACGCUGAGGAACGAAAGAGUGGGUAGCAAACGGG
rnacentral:rRNA from 1 species